AAAAAGAUAAGCUAAAUAAGCUAACGGGUUCAUACCCCUUUUAUAAAGGUUCUAAUCCUUUUCUUUUUA
rnacentral:tRNA from 1 species